rnacentral:lncRNA from 1 species
AGCCUCUCUUUUUGUGUGUGUGCACACCGAGAGCUUCCUUUGGCACAGCAGCUAGCACUAGACCUGAAGGCAGCAGGCUUGUGCGCAGCUGCUGCUCCUUGCCGGGAAGCCGAUCACUGCACCAGGAUCAGCUUUGGAUCCUCCUCAGCAGCAGCAGCUGAGCAGCCAGGGGUCGCGGGCAUGCACCAGCUGAAACUUGCGCAGGCUGCCUGCUAACGGGUCUUCCUCCUCUGGUGCCCACGGGCCCGCACAGUCCUUAAAACAGCUGCCCUGCUGAUGGAGCAGAAAUAACAGGCUCCGGAUCUCGGCUCACCUGAGGGGGCCGGUGAGAGGCACAGAGAAGGGGUUAUAGCGCCUGGAGGAAAGCGACUGUCACGGACCUCUUAUGACCAUGCUUUCUCGUGAUCACGUUUCCCCAUUUCUUGGGACUCUGAGGUACCCCCCGCUCUGGACCUGAGGAAGUAGUUGCAGCAGUGACUAGGUUUGUGCAUUGCUUUUACGGCAGGGCCAUGGUUGAGAGUUCUUCCCGAUUGACUUGUAGAGACAGGCUCAACCCCAUGGGAUACAUGCCACAAUGUGUGCUCAAUAGCAGCAUUACCAGAUCUUCUUCAGAAGCAUUCUCAGUUUCAUCCAGGAUAUUGGUGUGAAUUUAAAUUUCUCUGGCUCUUUCCUGAGAAGCUCUUCAAAACUACAGAACUCCUCAUCACUCAGUCUUUGCAGAGGCUUCAGCAAGCCAUGGCCAGAUGAGUCCACCAUCUUGGAUAGUCAUCUCCGAUUCCAGAGCCUGAUAAAUCUUCAAAACAAAGACAUAAGUGAUACCUUGGUCCCAAAAUUUCAACACUGGGAAUCCAUUUCCAAGCAACAACUGCACAAAUGCUCAAAGAUGCACCCAGUCUGGACCUGGUUGCAUGGGCUGAUACUUAUCAAAGGACAGUGAGUACUCUUAACUGCAGAGCCAUGCCUAUGCUACCAAGUAUAUUAGAAGCCACUCUAUUUGUACAUUAUGAGGAGUUAGUGGCACAGGUGCACAGUUUCUACUUCUAGGAGGACCAGCUCUUGAAGCCAUGUUAUUAAAAAUAAUUGUCAACAGAACCAAGGGUUCUAUGCCUGCUAGCCUUAGGAUGAUCUUCUGAGUGACAAAAUCUAGCUACCUCACAUCCAGCUGGCAUGACUCUUGGCCUCUAGACAUUUUCCUGAAUUCCUGUCUUGUGUUUGUCUCUCUUUUGUGAACUCCUAGGAUCUGCAUCUUUCCUCAGAUAUAUCAGCUCAAUGCAUCUUAGACUAGUCCCACUGACUAUCAUUCUUGGGUCUUAACGACUACUCUGUCCUUCAGGGCAACUUUUGAGUCAUGGCUAGCACAUUUUAAAUGCCUCUUGAUAUAUCUGGUUGUAAUUUUCACACCCAGGAUGAGGAAAGAGUUGAGAUGCCAAAGCUAUUGGCAUAGGCCGUAUCUACCAAGUAGUCUAAAGUAUACAGCCUGGCAUUAAAGUGGAGAAAUUCAGCAAGAGAAGGUAACAGGCACUGUGAUCCCCCACUAGACCACAAUUGAGUAAUAGCAGCUCCAGUCUUAUGCUGGCCCAGUAUAGGCAUAGUCAGCUGCUGUGAGAUCAUGACUGAAGUGGAGACGUGCCAGAAGGCAGCAUUUCAAAGCCCUUCUCCAUACCUUCUACCUUCUAGGUUCUUUUGAUGGAUCCUCAGGGAGAGGUGGUCUUUGUCUUUAGUUAAGUAGCCAUGGGUUAAGUGAUCACAUCAGACUCCACAGGACAGAGAUGCAGACAGCCUGCUUAGAAAAGCUCUGCCUUUGGAUCACAAAACAGAAGUUGUGAAUGUGAGAAAAGGGAGUUGUAGGGAAAAGUGGGGAUUGAGAAGAGUGGAAUGGAGAUGGGAAAGGGACAAAGAACCAGAGAGUAUUGUUGCAUCUGCCUCGGCCGGCAAGGAAGACACAACACAGUCGGAUUCUUCUCAACAGCCUUUAUUGCAGGGACGCCUCAAUGCUGCUACAGGUACCCUGGGCACCCAGGGAGUUCUGCUUAUAUACUCUCAGCCCCCAUCCACUCACGGCAGGCCAUGUCACCUCACCAGGCACACAGCUUCAGCCAAUCAGGGCGGCAGGGGCAUGUCUCCACCAAAUAUGGGCUUUUUUACACCACCAGCAUCAUGGUGCACCUGCACAGCUCUCACGAUGGUCGUGGCUUAUUUUCAGGUGUAUGAGGAAGUCAGGUGCAAGUCAUAAGACUUAGCUGCAGUCCCGGGCGCCAUCUUGGGACUGCUGCCCCACCCGCUCCUCACAUCUCUCCCCCCCCUUUUUUUGGCGGAGAGAAUGUCUGUCUUAGAUUGCCCCCCUGUGGCAAUGCCCCUUACCCAUCCUUGGGAGACAAACAGCAUUGGUUUGAUCCCUGUCUUAGGUUGGUGACACGCCCAGGGAGUCUUAUCCGUCAUUGACUACUUCUCUAUCAUGCCAAACCACACUUGAGGAGAUUGUCCUGUCUGCAUGUGGCAGGUGCACCAGAAGGCCAGGAUGCUGAUUAAUCUAUGGCCCAAUUUUGAUUGCUGCAAGCAAGCCUCAUGGGUGAAGGUAGAGGUCUGAUCCCCAGUGUGCAAGCAUAGGGGCCCUACACAAAACCAUCCCUUGGGCUCAUCACCCAGAGAGGUCUUGGCCAGCUCCCGUGUCAUUUUUCCUGGGGGAAGGGAACUAGGACAUUGAACCUUCAUGCAAUCAGACGUGCCUUCCACAGGAUGCCAACAGCAAGCUAUCCUCUGUGCAGUGCUUAGCCUUGCAACCCAUGGCAUAACGCAGCAUUAUUUCUUUAGAGCGGCUAAGCCAAAUCUGAGGAAAUUGUCCUGCCUCCACUGCGGCAAAGGCCUGCGCCACUGCCACAGGCCCUCUGGUCCCCUGUGCCUGUGUAGAAAAGAGUCUCUAGAGUAGAUGGGCAAAAAUUAGGAUGUAUUGACAAGCAGUCAAACACGCUAGAAUGGUGUUGGAUCUGAAUGUAAUGUUCCAGUCGAGCAUCAGACUUUUAUAAUACAGAAUAAAUUGCAGAACAAGGCACAUUGAAUUUUUCCAGGUGCAAAAGGAGUGACUUCAAAAGGAACCAGGUAAAUGUAUAACACUAGAGAUUUAGCACAGAUGCAAGGGGAGUGACUACAAAGGGAAUUUGUAGGGACCAGAUAAAUGUUUACAUUAGAGAUUAGCACUUUCUGCCAGGCAAGAGUUUUACACUUAGAGUUAAUUGCCUCAGGGUAGUUAACUCUUGACACGCCUCAAGAAUAAUGUAGUGUCACUGACCCCAAAAUUCUCUAGGCCUCUAAUUCUUAUCAAUAUCUGAAGACUGUCUAUUUUCAGUAUAGUAUACUAAUUUGCUCUUGGCAUGGAAUGUAGUCUGUAAUAAGAAUUUCUAUCUCAGUGAGAAUUUUAGUCUCUAUCUGUAAACAGCUGAGUAAAAUGGCAAGUGCUUAAUUGUUUACUGAAUGGGUUAAGCUCCUUGCUGCUAUCUGGAAUCUAAGAACACUGGGAAAAGGCUUUAGCUAUGUUAGAAUACAACCUUAAAAGGCAUUUACUAUAAGGUGAUGUUUAAUAGAGUGCAUGUGAAUCUAUACACUAGAUUAAUGUGGUGGAAAUUUGAAUAUAAUGGGUUAGGGAAAGAGAUGCCAUAACUCUGGGAGGAAAAUUUCCCUGGACUCUUAUCCUCGUGAAACAGCUUCCAGGCUUUUCACCUGACAAACCGAUCCAAACUGGAGAGUUGGCUUUCGCCAGAAUAUCCAGGAGGAGAGUCCUAGAAAUUUAUUUCUCAUGAGCAGCUUUUUGGCAUUUUUGCCUCACAAGCUGACUCCACCAGAGUGCCCUGACACGCCACCAUGGCGGAAGUGCGGGCCUGCACAUGCUUCACCUGACACAUACACCAAACACACAACACACACACUAUUACAAGCAUACAUUCCAGGGCUUCCAUCAGCCCUGAGGCAAGGGAUCAGUGCAACUACCAUUCACCCCACAUAACAACCAUACAUAUAAGAGGCACUGCCCAAGGUGGAAGGGAAUCAGGAACACUCCUACAAAAAGGAAGGCCCAUCUAGGUUGGGAGGUUAUAGUGCCCUUGGAUGUACUAGCAGGCCACACCCCUCGAAUCCAGGUAGCAUUAGCUUUAGUAGAUACAGCUGAACACAAUCACUCAUCUGUGAAAUAUUUUGAAUCAUCUGAAAACACAACAAUCCCUUUAGCUGAAGCAGCAUAGAAAAAAGGCAAUUGUAGUGAAGCAUUAGAUGUAAAGAAUCGAGGAAACACUUGAAUGCGCCAACGGCAUGGUUUUCAGGAACACAGACAUUAUUCCCCAACGUAGCUCUUCAGUUCUCACUAGCGCGAGCAUUCCCAGCCACAGGAACAUCCACGUCCUCAUAGCUCUGCUUGUUUUGAAUUGCUCUGGUCAGCCCUUCUGGGACCCACAGCUGUUGUGGGUGAUCCUGAGGAAACACAAACAGACCCUCUCGCCCAAACCAAUUGAGAGCGCUCCUCUCUCACCUGAUUCAGCACCUCAUUACCUCUCUGAAGUUCUGCGCCACAUCUUUCUCUUCUAUGCAAUUUCUCACUAACUUCCAGACCGGCAAAACCCCUUUUGGUAAAACCCUCUGUUCCUCUGCAAACCUCAAGUCCCAAUGGUGCUUGGUGCAACUUGUCCCAAAGCCGGGAACCUUAACUUGUAAGAAAGGAAGAAACUUGUCCCAAAGCCGGGAACCUUAACUUGUCUUCACAAUUUCCUUUUCUUUAUCACUGAUUCCUUUUAUUUUCCCUCCCUUUUCUUUUCCUUUUUCUUUCUUGCCCUUUUUCUUUCUCUUGCUCAUACGCUCUUUGUCCUCUUCUGACAUGCUUUCUUGUUCCAUAAGAAUUUUCUGACCUGCUUUAACUGCCUCAACACAUCGCUUGUCCUCUAAACAAGCAUGCACCAUGCGCCAAAGCGGUUUCACUCCUGUGGGUUUUUUUUUUUUUUUUUUUUAUUUUUUACUGAUCCUUUUUCAGCUUCUCUUUCUAGGUCUCUCCCCAACUUAUCCCACGAUCCCAAAGUUAGGGAUCCGGUAGGCAAAAACCAGGGCGCAAUGCGGUCAACUUCAGACAGAAAACUUGCUAAUAUUUCUUCUGAUUUUGAGCUUCCGCUGACCAAGCAGAUCUUGCAAAGCGGAGAAGAGAUUACUAGAUGGACACUCAUGUCCAGGUCUGUGACAGUUCAAACAAAUGCAAAGGCCAUAAAAUACAAAAAAUGAAACUAGGAUGAGAGCUACCCACGCUGGUCUAUAGGAGGAAAAAACAUCCCCCUUUAACCGGGAAUCAAUUAGGGAGACUUACCGGUACCGCCGUUCCUUGGCUGAAAAGUUCUGAAUCUGCGAAGUCGUUGUCCUCAGGUCCCUGUACAGGCCACCAGAUGUUGCAUCCACCUCAGCCGGCAAAGGAAGACACAACACGGUUGGAUUCUUCUCAACAGCCUUUAUUGCAGGAAUGCCUCAAUGCUGCUACAGGGACCCUGGGCACCCAGGGAGUUCUGCUUAUAUACUCUCAGCCCCCAUCCACUCAUGGCAGGCCAUGUCACCUCACCAGGCACGCAGCUUCAGCCAAUCAGGGCGGCAGGGGCAUGUCUCCACCAAAUAUGGACUUGUUUACACCACCAGCAUCAUGGUGCACCUGCACAGCUCUCACGAUGGUCGUGGCUUAUUUUCAGGUGUAUGAGGAAGUCAGGUGCAAGUCAUAAGACUUAGCUGCAGUCCCGGGCACCAUCUUGGGACUGCUGCCACACCUGCUCCUCACAGAGUAUCACAGACAGAUAUGAAACUGUCAGACAUAUUGAAAAAAAUCAUAAGAUGGAGAGAAAUUAAGAAUAGAAAUGACAGUUUUAAUUUCUAAUGCAUAAUGUGUUCCCCAUCAAUAUCUACUUUUAACCAUAACCUGGUUUUGAUAGAAAAAUAGUGAGCAUUAUCUUCAAAAAGUUUAAACUUGAAAAACCAUUGUUCAAUAUAGGCUGUCAACAUGAAAGGUUUUUUUGCUGAUUAUAGAUGUUUUAAAACAUUCUUCAUUUGUAUUGCCAAAUUCUAUUUCAACUGUUUCAAAUUACUACUGUAAUUUUAGCUGCUGAGGGAUUCCAAAUUUGAUUUGCUUGAAAGACAUCGCUUGAAAGAUAGGAAAAUAAUAACAAUUAGAAUUAAAUUUAGAGUUUUAUUAGAAAAUUUGAACUCAGAAAAUUUUGCUUUCAUUUCAAUGUUAUUAGAAACCACAUCAAAUAUACUGCUAAAGUGUCAAAUAUAUUCAACAUUUACUGAGAUUAAGACAUACAGUCUACUCUCAUUCUGUACAUUUUUCUGUUCUUCUUGACACAAGGGCUGCUCCAUUUUAUAUAAAGGGGUACUGGAAAAAUCCAUGGAUCACAGACGCACACUUUCAUUCCUCCUGAGUGUUUCAUCUACAGCAAAAGCAAAACAAUAAAAAUAAGCAAAAAACGCCAGCUUAUUUGAGUUUGAUAAUCUUUUCAAAUACCUAUAGUCAUGUAAGUCUGUGUUUGUGUAUGGAAAGUACAAUUAACUUAAGUCCAUAUUCUGAGGCUUGAGGCAACAGUUCUAAGACCUGCCAAUCAGCACAAUCUUUACAGGCGACUUGGGCAUUUGUCUAUUGAGGACACAAUUCCUAGAGUAACUUAAAAAGCUGAGAUGUGACACCAUCCCCUCUUGUCAGCCUACAAUCUUGGAUAACUAUGGAGUAUUGAGUAUCCCAGUCCUCAGUUUCUUCAUCUGUAAAAUAGAAUCCUAGUUCAUACUGUAGCAAUGAUUAAACAACAUAUGUAAACCAUUCAUGCAAUCUGAUACAUCUGAACAUUAGACACUCAGUAAACAUUUGCUGUUAUGUAUUUGUUUAAAUGAUGAUUGAAAACAGUUGUGUGCAAACAUGAGAGGCACGUGUGGAGACCAGAUAACUGCUUUCAGUAGCUGGUUCUCUUGUUCCACCUUAUGUGGAUUUCUGGGACUGAACUCAUGACAUGGGGGUUAUUGAGGCUUCUCAGUGGCCUUGGCUUACUUUCUUGAAGGUCAGUGUCUCAAGUUCCUUUCACUUUUUCUUCAGGAGGUUGGGUAUAGAGAGAGUAUCUUGUCUAUUGUAUGGAUCCAUCACCUGUCAACCAAAAAACCCUAUGGCCUACAGUAAAGAGUAGAAUAGAAGGUGGGACACCCAGGAGACAGCAAGCAUUCUGGGAGAGAGUCAGGUAUGGGAGAUUUGCCCAGGAAGAUGUGACAAGAUGGACACAUGGUACCAGAGGACAGGAAAGCAGCCAUUUGGCAGAAUGUAGAUUAGAAUAAAUGGGAUAAUUUAGCUUAUCUAAUAAGAGAAAAGCUUAGGGGCUAGAGAGAUGGCUCAGCGGUUAAGAGCACUGACUGUUCUUCCAGAGAUCCUGAGUUCAAUUCCCAGCAACCACAUGGUGGCUCACAACCAUGUGUAAUAGAAUUUGAUGCCCUCUUCUGGUGUGCCUGAAGAGAGUAACAGUAUACUCGCAUACAUAAAUCUUAGAAGUUUAGCUAUGUGGUCAAGGUAUUAAUAUAUUUUGAGUCUGAGUCUUAUUUCUUGGAGCAUGGGGCUGGGAGAAAGAACCAGGCAUCACUUCUACAGUUGGCAAUUCUGAAGUAUUUUAGAAAAAUGGAGGUUGCAAUAUGGCUAUAAAAUUUUCUUUAGAGUCUUCUGUAUACACACAUAAUCCUAUCAUACUUCUCCCUUAAGGAGAAGGAAGGAACCUAUCUUAUUCUCUGAUGGAAAAAGAAAAAGGUGUCUCCUAUUCACCAAUUCCCUGAGAGGUUAAAUAAAAAGAACCAAAGUAGAAAUAUCUGUCAACUUGUUGGAACAUUAGCUGUGAUUUUCUGUCUAUUUAAUUCUGGACGGUUAAUUUUUUUCUGACUUGUCUUCCUCGUUAUUCACUGCCUUCAGUAUCAUUGUUUUGUUUGAGUCCUGAUAACCCUGUGAGUCAUAACUACCGCUUUCAAUUAUAGCCGUCACUGACGAGCAUAAGAAAUGAUUCUGAAAUGAUACCCCUUCUAAAACUUCCAAGUGGAAUCUCAUCUGGGGACAAUGAUUUAGUGUGGCUUGACUUUUGGAAGGGUGCCGGAAAGGGGUUGUAAUUCUCACAUCUUUCCCGUUGACUCUGGGAUAUUUAGCUGACAUUUGAACUUGGCCUGCAAGUUGACAGCUUUUCUGAUUUGAUUAAGCCAUGUCGAUGAGGACUCAUGCGCUUCUUCACAGGACAAGCUCUCUACAAUAACAGUCAUUACAUCUUGCCUAUAGAAGUGUUUCUGCAGCUGGGCGUGGUGGCGCACACCUUUGAUCCCAGCACUCAGGAGGCAGAGGCAGGUGGAUUUCUGAGUUCGAGGCCAGCCUGGUCUACAGAGUGAGUUCUAGGACAGCCAGGGCUACACAGAGAAACCCUGUCUC